GACAGAGGGUGCAAACGUUGUUCGGAAUUACUGGGCGUAAAGCGCGUGUAGGCGGCUUGGCAAGUCGGAUGUGAAAGCCCUGGGCUCAACUCAGGAAGUGCAUUCGAAACUGCCGAGCUUGAGUUCCGGAGAGGAAGGCGGAAUUCUCGGUGUAGAGGUGAAAUUCGUAGAUAUCGAGAGGAACAUCGGUGGCGAAGGCGGCCUUCUGGACGGCAACUGACGCUGAGACGCGAAAGCGUGGGGAGCAAACAGGAUUAGAAACCCCUGUAGUCC
rnacentral:rRNA from 1 species